rnacentral:lncRNA from 1 species
UAAAAUAAAAUCAUCAAUAUACUGUGUGCAUACAAUGCUUCAUGGAGCGGACAUGAAAUGUCACAUAAACUGCUGAUACUUACUUUUCUGGAACAACAACACAGAGUGUUCACUACUGAUUUGCAAAUACCUAAUUUGCAAUCAGCAAAAAGCUUCAUCAAGUAUGUCCAACUCCUACCGGUCUGGCAGUAACAUUGUUCCUGCUAUCCUAAAUUCAGUAUCCAAAACCAAAAACAAAGAAAAAUCAUCUCUUUGGUAACAGGCAAGCAAAAAAACCAUAAUCCCGUCACAGGGAAUCGUCCACCGCGCCUAGGCAGUGUCGCUCCUCCAGGACCCUAAAAGAAGGAGAGAAUAUCUCAUGUUACAAACCAGAUGCAGAGUUAAGUAAGGGGAGGCCAAAGACAUGUCCCAGCAACCUAAAAUGCGUUAUUCGCCAGCAUGUUCCAGCUGGCCCUCACCAAGAUACUGUAAAUCUUAAUGUACUUCACCAAAUCAAGCAACUGAGAAUAAUAUGAAUAUCAGCAGGAGAUUAUCUACAAGUUUCAUGUGGGUGCCACAACCAAAUUAUGAACCAAAUUACUCAUAUAGAGUUUGAAAUGAGCAUCUGACCUACUACUGGGUGUGGCAAUCAACCGAGAUCUACCCUUGCAGCAAGAAGGAACCAAAGGGACGUGAAUCCAAUAAAAUAAGUCCACUUUCGUCUCUUCUCUUUCCCUUUCCUCCAUCUCCAACUCCAAAUUUCCUGUCCAUGUUUGAUCCACACCAAUCGGUCAGUAAGAAAGUAUACCUAAUCGACUUGGUCUCAUGCAACUUUGUGUUUGCAACAAAGGGGCAGGCAACAUCCAUGGGGUAGAGAUAUAGUUCACCGGAAUUUAACACUACAUUGAAACCAUAUCAUUUUAGGUAGGAUAUGCACAAAUGUGAAGUGAUAACAUCACAAAAAGAUUAUACGACAUUCUCCAAUCUCCUUAAUUUUGCAAUUAAACAUCUGCAACUUACAAAGUUCUCGUGUAAUCUUUAUUCCCUUGUUGCCAUGAUGGCCAAAUAGACAUGUAAAAUCCUAUAAAAUCCUCAUUUGAAGGAAUGCUCCAAUUUUAAACGACAUAUGAAGAAGCAUGUUCCAUCAUGAACUUUUGUCAAGCAGCUUGCAUACGUCACAAAGCACUUGUUCAUUGAAAAAAUAACGGUUAUAAAGAUUUCAUGUGUCUGCUUACCAAGAAUAUGCACAUGCCUGUUUGAAGGACUCUGGAUGUUGAUAACAUUGAGGUGCUCAUAAUGACGAUAGUUGUGCUGGUACAUGGUGCUUGUUGAGCCUGCACUUGUGGAUGCACUCCCCCUCUCUCACCUGUUCCACGCAAACGGCCAGACCCUCACGUUCGACGCAAACACCCAUCCCACCUGAUUUGGCCAUUUGGCCCUCAUUUGCUCUCUUUUUUUUUGAAAAAAAGGUUUAUCUAUCUGGC